rnacentral:lncRNA from 9 species
CUCACGUUCACCCAGACGGUCUGAAGCAUUGUGCCAUCUCAGAGGAAGCCUCAGGUGAGUCGGGAGGAUCUGGGGUGAGGACUGGGGCUCAGCUGGUGCCCUGGAGACUGCGGAACUGAAUGAAAGUGGAUUCCCUAAGUGAUUUCUCUGAGUUAGGGGGCAAAGAAUGCUGCGUCUUUGCAAGUUCAAUCCUGUCGUCGUCUUCAUGAUACCAGACGAUGGAAUUUACCUUUUUUUUUUUCCUUUCAUUUUUGAAUCGUCCAAUUUUAGGAACUGAUCUAACUUGCUGCUAAAAAGCCAUGUAGUUCCAAUUCCAGCUCUUCCAUUCGCCGACGCUGUCACUUGGAUGUGUCCAAACUUCCCAGGAUGAAGACAAUAUUUACCUUACAGACUUGUUGCCGCCCUGCGGUCAUUUCUGACCAGUUUCCUCCCAGGCACGCGGCUCCUGCAGGGCCGCCCCUCCUCCUGAGCUCCAGCCACCCGGCCUUUGCCUCCGGCCUGGGGAGGGCUGCCAGGUAGACCGUGGGACAGCCAGCUCAACUUAAAUUCCCGGUAAGUGACCGAUAAUUUUAAGUAUGUGCAAUAUUUGGGACCCCGCUUGUAACUAAAAAAAGUAUCCAAUGUUUUCUGAAGUGCAAAUGUAGCUGCGCGCCCUGCAUUCUUAUUUGAAUCUGGUGACCCCAGGCUUGUCUCCGGGACCUUGCCACCCCUCCUCAGUUCCCUCUGGGUCCCAAGACAAAGGGAAACUCCCAGGUGUCCUGUGAAUGAGCCCCUUUUGGAAUCAG